rnacentral:rRNA from 1 species
CCACCCUGAAUAAGCCUGAUCUCAUCUGAUCUCAAAAGCUGAGCAGGGUGGGAUGUGAUUAGUACUUAGAUGGGAGAUGAACUAGGAAUAUCAAAU